UAUGAUUAAAAUAGUAAUGUCAUCUACUUUUAUUUUUCAUAGUGUACAGCAUGUACUCCACGUGUAUCACCACUUUCUGUGUAAAAAAAAUUGAAAUAUCUCAGUUUAUUUUUCACUUUCUCACCACUGCUUUUUUUACUCUCUUCUUUGCUUAACUUCCAAGUUCUAUUCAACAAAAUGAAAGGCCCCAUCAGAAAUUUUCAGGCCUUCGCAUGUACUUCUACAAGAAAGGGAAGAAAAAAAAUUGAAAAUUCAGAUAUUUUGAUAUUGGAAACAUCGAGCUUAAUUUUGAAAUUUGAAGCAUUUUCAGGUUUGUCGAGCUUAAUUUUGAUAUCUUUCUAUACUUUUAACUAAGAUAGUGAGUUAUGCCUAAAUUUUCCCUAUUUUCAUAGCCUAGAGAGUUCAGUAUUCCUCCCUCUUUAGUUUAUUGAACAUAAUACACUCCUAAAGUUGUUUCAUAUAAGGAAAAUUCUAUGAAAGCACAUAAUAUAAAGCUCUAUAAGCACUUGCGCCCGUGAAUUUACAUUGUCAUGUUGGUUUAAUUUCCCCAUUGGAUAUGCAGCUGAAUUUUCAUGUUGAAUGUUAACCGGUAAGCAUAUAAUAUAUAGCUCUACAGGCACUUGAGCCCGCACAUGCAAGUACAUUUACAUAAUCAAGUUGUUUAUUUGACUUUCCUAUUGGAUAUGUAGUUUAAUCCUAAUGUUGAAUGCUAAUGAGUGCAGAAUAAUUCAAGCGAUAAUGUACCGAUAUGAUAGGUGAGGUUUUCACCAGUUGUUUCUCUCUCUACUCUCUUUCCCAAUUUCAUAUAUGUAAUUUUCCUUUGCUUUGGGUAAAUUGAGCACCAAUACAUGUACUUUAAUCCCCAAUUUGGGUUACUUUUGAAUGGUUUCAGCGGCUAUAACGAACCCAUGUUCUGAUGAAGGGAUCUUUGAUCUUAAAAGUGCAUUUCUCUACCUUCUCUUUUUGAAUGAGGAGAAAUGCGUGAAAAUGAGAAGUAACAUGUGGGUCUGUUCUGCAAAACAAUAUAACAAUAGAGAAAUGAAAGUGAUAUUGAUCAAAUUGCAUUAUCACUUGCUAUUUUCUCCAAUUUUUUAAUCAUAAUUCGAGAUAUUACAUCAAUUCGACAUCAUUAUUCAUUUCUGGUGCGACAGCUCUCUGUUAGUUCACUGCAUCUACAGGUGAUAAUGGUCAAAUGGGUCAAUUUGUUGAUCUCCAAAACCAACUCCACAAGACUAUUGGAAAGAAAUGAAGAUCUUUUAAGUGUUUGAGAAGGUGAUGGAAGAAAAAUAGUAUCUGAUAUGGCACGACAAUUUAACUACGUCAAUGAUUUUUUCGUCAAUAUUUUUUUCUUCCGCCUCUUCAUUUGCAUGUAUAAACAAACCUCUCUAAAGGUAACACAAUAAAGAACAAACAUAACAAAGCAAGUAGUAAUCCUUUUUGAAGUUCAAAUUUGAAUUUAUUUUAUUGGGCAGAUCCAACCAUAGAUUUCAUAUUGGUCUUCAAUUAAACAGUCGAUGAAAUGCAAGUCUUUUUCUAAAGUUGUUUUGCUCGUUCUAUAUUCAAUUACAUUAUUGUUUGUCCCUUCUCAGUGUGUAAUCUUCAGCUUAGACUUGUCUAAUACUCAUAUUCUUAAAAUGUAAUUGAGGAUUCUCAGAAAAACUCUUGGGAUUUUCAAUUUUGCCAAUUUAGGACAAUGACAACAUAUUGAUAUACCGUGGUUUCACGGUAUAAUUAAUAUUUUUUCCUUAAGUUUAGUGUGUCCGAAUGCCUUUUUGUGCUAAUUUCGAUAUAAGUUUCUCUUUG